ACUGUGCACGGUGUCCGCUAUAUCAAGCACUAAUGUGUACAGCAGGCCUGACGGCCGGGGUUGUCAAAAUUCUCGCCCAGCGCCCUGCAUGCAUCCAGGCCUGAUCAAGGCUACUGUUGUGUGUGCACGUAUGGGCCUGUGCGCAUGAUUGUUCGUACGCGACAUCGACAGUGCAGUCGGCUAUCAUCAUGACCUGACCAAGGCUACAUGUUCACUGAUCAGCUGAUAGCGGAUUGUGUUUGUACAUGUAAGACAUGCACAGAAACCACUCAACUGACCCACUCACUUGGACACUUUACAACACAGGCCAACUGACCUGUUCGAGAAGGACAUGACAGUGGGUGCAGUACGUAGUACUUAUGCAGUUUUGGUACAACAGAGUUUGUACAAAACAAUUGGUUGGGCGCCUUGGACGGUGGCAAGACCGUAAUCUCAAAUAACCACGUUUAUAGAAUUCUUGAUAUCACUGAUACUAUCAGGUAACUAUUUUGUGAAAGAGCUGCCAAGUGUUCGUCAUGAGUUUGUCAGCUAACCUACAACGCGAAUGGGUUCCAAACCAAACCCUUCCAACGGCUGGCCUCAUCGUUGGAGACUUUGUAGUGAUGACCUACAACCUACUGAACAAGGACCUUGGGCCGGACGGGCUGUUCUCGUACUGCCCAGACGAGUUGUUGAGCACUGCCCGCAGACACCCGGUGCUCAUGGGCGAGAUUGACCACCACAAAGACGCAGAUAUCAUCUGCUUUCAAGAGGUCAGUAGUUUGUACUACGACGAAACCUUGGUGCCUGAUAUGCAUGAGAGAGGCUACACUGGUGCUUUCAUCAAGCGGCCCAGUGCUCGGUCGGCUGACGACAAGCGACCGUGGACUGAUGGGAGUGCCACCUUCUUUCGAAGUGCGCGGUUUCAACUGGUCAAACAGGAGGGAGGUCAUUUCAAGGACCUGUUUGAAAAGGAACAGGAGAAACUUCAAAGCCCCACCAAUACCACUUCAUGUGACCCUGACUUGAUUGACAGCAAGAGGUCCUUCCUCUUCGUGCUGUUCCGCUGUCUGGAGACGGAUAGGCUGGUGGCGGUGGGAAACGUUCACCUGACGUGCGUCUAUGGCAGUUACAACCGAAUGGAUUUGAAUUCUUUAGAGGCUGCAUUUGCUUUAAGAGAGCUGGUGCGUUUCUGCGGAGGAGCAGAUGCCCCCCACAUCUUGUGCGGGGAUUUCAACUUUGAGGAGCACCACCCUGGAUACCAACUGAUGCGAGACGGGUUGCUGAGCGAAGCCUCAGCAACGUAUCUCCGCAACCUGAGACUCCCUGGUGAAAAGGAUGGCAGCAAAAACGUCAUGUCCCUGCUAGACGUUUUUCCAGACUUUUUCACACACGACUCGGUGAGUCUCAAAAGUUCCUACAAAACUGUUAUGGGACACGAGCCACCCUUCACAUGUUACGAAGACAGCUCUCCGGAAUGUGCAACUCCAGUUGGACCACUGCCGACCAAAGCUUUGCAAGCGCUGUUUGAUGUGGCGCUCAAUUACACUAAGCAGGGUCGCGGAGCAGACAAAUAUGUAGCCGCUGUGGACUACAUCUGGUUCAGCUCCAGCUCACUCCACUGCAGUGGUGCUCUCAGGAUGCCGGAAGAGAGGCUGAUCCUGCCGUUCCACGCUUGUCCCAACGCAGUCUUCCCAUCGGACCACCUGCUCAUGAAAGCCCAGUUUUCCUUCCUGAAAGCCUAAAGCUGAAAUUUUUGGUGUUCUUUGUAAAGGAAGCAAAGUUUUUUUACAUCUUUAGUUUAUUAUUAUUGUACAUUAUGGUACCUGUAAGAGAACUCCUUCGCACAAGUUAACAGGAAGGGCUUAGUUCUUUUUUACUAUUUCUGUGAAAUUUUCCCAGAUUCCUAUUGUAACGCAAUGCAUAGCCCACUGGUGCGCUUUCAAGCGUUUGUUGCUUAGCAACGUUGUGCGCGCUGGCGUGUAUAUAAGCGACCGCGUGCAAAGAGUCGCUCUCUUCCCGCUGCGACAGUCACUGUGUUGAGUUGGAAAGCAACUUCCUGCUGCAGCUGCCACCAAUUGCAGUGAGGGGUUCUGAUCGGAGAUAAAGUGUACUUUUUAAUCGUCCAGUCAAUUACAUUUAUUUAAGUAGUCGCAGUAGGGGAGCCUCACACUUUGUGUGAGCUUGAUUUGUGAUUGUUAAUAAAUCCUGGCACCUAUAAUUUUGUGAUCAGUGAAUAGUCCCGCACGUAGGUGAAGCACUGUGCGCCUAUAGGAGAAUAAAGCAUCAAAGCAAAGGGUAGGCACAAACUGGCGUCCGCCCCCCCCAUUUCUUCCCCGGUGGUCCCCCGUCUGUUAGCCCCGUGUGGUGCGAGGGUGUGUGAGUGUGUUUUGGCAGUGGUGAGCCACGGGCCUGGCGGUAGACUUCCGCCAAAACGGAUCUGCGUCUCGGGCCGUGGAGGUUAGGCCGCUCACCGCUAUCGGUCGAGACCGACCCGGGCAGUCGUCAGAGAUCGAAGCAGAAGGCGUCACGAGAAAUGGGGGAAAGACCGGGAGGAGAGAAGUCCAUCCCAUAGCCGUUCCGACGGGGAAAUGACAGAAUGCCCACUUUGAGGCAUGCUGCUGCAUAGGAGGAGUCUGGAGAGACAGUAGGUGAACAUUGGCCUUGGCGAGUCUUCCGCUGUCGAAGGUGUUCCCACAGGAACAAUUUGAGAGCGCAUGUUGGCGAGGUUUCAUACAUUCAGGGCGAAACGCUGGAGUCCCGUGGGAGAGACAGGCGCCUAAGUGAAGGUGAGCUAAGGCGCACAGAGAUGCCGAGGAGCAAGGGCGAGAGAAGCGUGAAGGUGACAAGAAGGUGAAGGUGAGAGGAGUGGGACCGCCGAUGUCUCACGGGGAGCUGGAGAGUAGCAUGAUUGGCAACAUCUUCCGGAUAACGGAAACAGAGACACGCAGCAUUUACCAAGACGGGAUGCUGGUGACGAAGGGCCACACUGAGCGGGUCUUUCAAGUCAAGUUCGCGACAGGAGGUUGCUGAACUUUAGGCGAAUAGGAGACAUACUGCGCCUAUAACAAGAAGUCAUGUUUAUUCAGAUGUUGUAUAAGUGUUUAAUAAAUUUUUGUAUCUGAAAAUUUAUCUAAGAAGUUUAAGAUUUCUGUGAGGGACAGUAAUCGCCUUUACUGUUUCGGAUGAGCCUGAGCCUAAAGAGAUAUGGCUUGUUCUUUUAUUGUUAACAUUUAAAGUUUUGCUUAAUGUUUCAAGUGUUCACGCUUUUAAUGUUAAACUUUCAAUGUCGCCUACAUGUCCUAAAUUUUAGUUUUAAGGGUGCCAAAGCUUGACACUGUAAGGACCAUCAGGUUUUUGGAGGUGUGUUUAUUUGGUUGAAAUUUAAAUCAGAGAUCAUGCAUUGCUUUUAUUUUAAGUGUCAAUUUUUAGGUCAGGGACUGACCAAACUUGGAAGGCGCCAAUGUAACGCAAUGCAUAGCCCACUGGUGCGCUAUCAGGCGCUUGUUGCUCAGCAACGUUGUGCGCGCUGUGUUCAUAAGCGGCUGCGCGCUAAGAGUCGCUCUUGUUCCUGCUGCGACCAUCGCCACGCACAGUCAAAAAGCUCUGCCUGCUGCGACUGUCCCCACAUACAGUUGGAAAGCUGUGCCUUCUGCAAACAUCACCUGCAAGUGCAGUUUGGUUCAGAUUUAUAGUGUAAGCUGCAAUCAUCCAAUCAUUAACAUCCAAUCGAGGAGUCGCAGUAGGGGAGCCUCAUACUCUGUGUGAGCUUGAUUUAGUUUGUGAUUGAUAAUAAAUCGUGGCACCUGUAAUUUUGUGAUUAAUUUCUAGUACUACACGUAGGUGAGGUACUGUGCACCUAUAUAGGAGAAUAAAGUCCUGGAACAAAGAGUAGGCACAAACUCGCAUCCAGUUCCCCCAUUCUUUCUCCUUUGGUCCCCCGUCUGUCAGCCCCGUGUGGUGUGAGGGUGUGUGAGAGUGAUCUGUCUGUGGCGAGUUACGGGCCUGGCGGUAGACCUCCGUCAAAACGGAUCUGCGUCUCGGGCCGUAGAGGUCAGGCCGCCGCUCACCGCUAUUGGUCGAGACCGACCCGGAAAGUCCUCAGAGGCUUUACCGCUACAAUACCUUUAUGUAUUUUAUGUCUUGACUCCUUACUUUCAAUCGUCUGAUUGUGUUAAGAAUUGAAGCUGACACAUACAGCCUCGUUUUCAAACCCUGAAGUGCGCAGAUCGGCGCUAAAAGCGUAUUGGGAUCCCUCUAUUGCAACAGUUAUGCUGUAUGUGCUCCAAACAAAGCAUGUCCGAGGUCAUUCGGGAACAGCAGUACGUGCACGAAAUGUCUGCCCUACGGGUUGCAAACCUCACAAAUUAUUUUUAAUUUAAUGUUUUCAAAACUGCGCAACCAUGUGUUACUGCCACUUCAAACCCUAAAAGACACAUGAAAACUGUGUCAUAACUUGUAUUUAAAAAAAGAAAUAUUUGAAUACGUCUUGGUAAAAUGAAAGUCACUUGAAAUGCAUACAGUUUUCAUUAAUAUUCUCGGAUUAUUGUAUUAAAGACUAAA
rnacentral:misc_RNA from 1 species